GAAAAUAAGGCUAGUCAAUGGUUAUUUUAAAUAGUUUUUCUUGGGGUUUAAUUAAUUUUUUUUUAAUAUAAAAGUGAAUUUAGAUCUUAAUACAUAUUUUUAUUGAGUACAUAUAUCAAAUUAUUGAAUACAUAUUGAGUUUGAAAAAUUAUUGACUUUAAGCCUUAUAAUGUAAGGCUGUUUGUACUGUGAUUUUUUUUUCUAUUUUUAAAUUUAAAAUUUGUGUUGCUCUGAACAUUGGUUGUGUAUGAAAACACUUUUUAUUUUUAAAAC
rnacentral:lncRNA from 1 species